rnacentral:rRNA from 1 species
GAUGAACGCUGGCGGCGUGCUUAACACAUGCAAGUCGAACGGAAAGGCCCAAGCUUGCUUGGGUACUCGAGUGGCGAACGGGUGAGUAACACGUGGGUGAUCUGCCCUGCACUUCGGGAUAAGCCUGGGAAACUGGGUCUAAUACCGGAUAGGACCACUUCUUGGAUGUUGUGGUGGAAAGUUUUUUCGGUGUGGGAUGAGCUCGCGGCCUAUCAGCUUGUUGGUGGGGUAAUGGGCUACCAAGGCGUCGACGGGUAGCCGGCCUGAGAGGGUGUACGGCCACAUUGGGACUGAGAUACGGCCCAGACUCCUACGGGAGGCAGCAGUGGGGAAUAUUGCACAAUGGGCGCAAGCCUGAUGCAGCGACGCCGCGUGGGGGAUGACGGCCUUCGGGUUGUAAACUCCUUUCGCUAGGGACGAAGCGUUUUGUGACGGUACCUGGAGAAGAAGCACCGGCUAACUACGUG